rnacentral:rRNA from 1 species
UACAGAGGGUGCGAGCGUUAAUCGGAAUUACUGGGCGUAAAGCGUGCGUAGACGGUUGCGUAAGUCAGAUGUGAAAGCCCCGGGCUCAACCUGGGAAUUGCAUUUUGAGACUGCGUAGCUAGGGUGCGGAAGAGGGAAGCGGAAUUUCCGGUGUAGCGGUGAAAUGCGUAGAUAUCGGAAGGAAUACCGGUGGCGAAGGCGGCGUCCGUGGACCAACACUGACACUGAGGAGCGAAAGCCAGGGGAGCAAACGGG